CUACGUGCCAGCAGCCGCGGUAAUACGGAAGGUCCAGGCGUUAUCCGGAUUUAUUGGGUUUAAAGGGAGCGUAGGCUGGAGAUUAAGUGUGUUGUGAAAUGUAGACGCUCAACGUCUGAAUUGCAGCGCAUACUGGUUUCCUUGAGUACGCACAACGUUGGCGGAAUUCGUCGUGUAGCGGUGAAAUGCUUAGAUAUGACGAAGAACUCCGAUUGCGAAGGCAGCUGACGGGAGCGCAACUGACGCUUAAGCUCGAAGGUGCGGGUAUCAAACAGGAUUAGAUACCCUGGUAGUCCGCACAGUAAACGAUGGAUGCCCGCUGUUGGUACCUGGUAUCAGCGGCUAAGCGAAAGCAUUAAGCAUCCCACCUGGGGAGUACGCCGGCAACGGUGAAACUCAAAGGAAUUGACGGGGGCCCGCACAAGCGGAGGAACAUGUGGUUUAAUUCGAUGAUACGCGAGGAACCUUACCCGGGCUUGA
rnacentral:rRNA from 1 species